AUUGAACGCUGGCGGCAUGCCUUACACAUGCAAGUCGAACGGCAGCACGGGAGCAAUCCUGGUGGCGAGUGGCGAACGGGUGAGUAAUAUAUCGGAACGUGCCCAGUCGUGGGGAUAACGUAGCGAAAGCUACGCUAAUACCGCAUACGAUCUAUGGAUGAAAGCGGGGGAUCGCAAGACCUCGCGCGAUUGGAGCGGCCGAUAUCAGAUUAGGUAGUUGGUGAGGUAAAGGCUCACCAAGCCGACGAUCUGUAGCUGGUCUGAGAGGACGACUAGCCACACUGGGACUGAGACACGGCCCAGACUCCUACGGGAGGCAGCAGUGGGGGAAUUUUUGGACAAUGGGCGCAAGCCUGAUCCAGCAAUGCGCGUGCAGGAUGAAGGCC
rnacentral:rRNA from 1 species